GAGUUGUCAAAACAGCUAGGAGGUUGGCUUAGAAGCAGCCACCCUUUAAAGAGUGCGUAAUAGCUCACUAGUCGAGUGACACUGCGCCGAAGAUGUACCGGGGCUAAACACAAUACCGAAGCUGCGGACUUGCAUGUAAGUGCAAGUGGUAGGGGAGCGUUCUAAGGGCUGUGAAGGUAGACCGUAAGGACUGCUGGAGCGCUUAGAAGUGAGAAUGCCGGUGUGAGUAACGAAAAUUGGGUGAGAAUCCCAUUCACCGUUUGACUAAGGGUUCCUGGGUAAAGUUCGUCUUCCCAGGGUAAGUCAGGACCUAAGAUGAGGCUGAAAAGCGUAGUCGAUGGACAACAGGUUGAUAUUCCUGUACCACCUAUAUGACUGAAGGAGUGACGGAGAAAGCUAGUGAGAGCCAGUUAAUGGAUUCUGGUCUAAGUGCGUAGGCUAGUAUGUUGGCAAAUCCGCAAUACUAUAACAGCUGAAACAUGAUGGGGAAGAGAGUCUUCGGACAAUCGAACUUUCAUGAUGCUAUGCUUCCAAGAAAAGCUUCUAGGGUUAAUCGUAUAGGUGCCUGUACCGACAACCGACACAGGUGGUCAAGGAGAGUAUCCUAAGGUGAGCGAGAGAACUAUGGUUAAGGAACUCGGCAAAAUGACCCCGUAACUUCGGGAGAAGGGGUGGUCUAGCGAUAGACCCGCAGUGAAUAGGCCCAGGCAACUGUUUACCAAAAACACAGGUCUCUGCUAACACGUAAGUGGAUGUAUAGGGGCUGACGCCUGCCCAGUGCUGGAAGGUUAAAGAGAUUAGUUAGUAUGACGUAAGUCGAUAAUACGAAGCUUUGAACUGAAGCCCCAGUGAACGGCGGCCGUAACUAUAACGGUCCUAAGGUAGCGAAAUUCCUUGUCAGGUAAGUUCUGACCCGCACGAAAGGCGUAAUGAUCUGGGUACUGUCUCAACCAUAGACUCGGUGAAAUCUUAAUACCUGUGAAAAUGCAGGUUACCCGCGACUGGACGGAGAGACCCCGUGGAGCUUUACUGUAGCUUGAUAUUGGAAUUCGGUAAACUAUGUAGAGCAUAGGUGGGAGACUAUGAGAUUAAGGCGCCAGCCUUAAAGGAGUCACCAUUGGAAUACCACCCUUAGUUUAUUGGAUUUCUAACCUAGGACCAUAAUCUGGUUCAGGGACAGUGUCUGGUGGGCAGUUUGACUGGGGCGGUCGCCUCCUAAAGAGUAACGGAGGCGUUCAAAGGUUCCCUCAGAAUGGUUGGAAAUCAUUCAAAGAGCAUAAAGGUAUAAAGGGAGCUUGACUGCAAGACCUACAAGUCAAGCAGGUGCGAAAGCAGGACUUAGUGAUCAGGCGAUUCAGAAUGGAAUGGUCGUCGCUUAACGGAUAAAAGUUACCCCGGGGAUAACAGGCUGAUACCACCCAAUAGUUCACAUAGACGGUGGUGUUUGGCACCUCGAUGUCGGCUCGUCAUAUCCUGGAGGUGGAGUCGCUUCCAAGGGUUGGGCUGUUCGCCCAUUAAAAUGGCACGCGAGCUGGGUUCAGAACGUCGUGAGACAGUUCGGUCCCUAUCCGUCGUGGGCGCAGGAAAAUUGAGGAGAGCUAUCCUUAGUACGAGAGGACCGGGAUGGACCUACCUCUGGUGUAUCUGUUGUCACGCCAGUGGCAGUGCAGAGUAGCUAUGUAGGGAAGGGAUAAACGCUGAAAGCAUCUAAGCGUGAAGCCCUCUCCAAGAUGAGUUUUCCCAUUGUUUAACAAGUAAAAUCCCAGAAAGACUAACUGGUAGAUAGGCUAGAAGUGGAAGUGUAGUGAUACAUUGAGCGGACUAGUACUAAUAGAUUGAGGAUUUAAUCC
rnacentral:rRNA from 1 species